rnacentral:rRNA from 1 species
AAUCUGGGGCCCUCGGCCUCCGAGUUGUAAUUUGGAGAGGCAUCUUCGGAGGGGAGCGCCGGCCCAUGUUCCUUGGAACAGGACGUCGCAGAGGGUGAGAAUCCCGUGCCAGGCCGGCAGCCUCCUCUCGCGUGAAGGGCCUUCGACGAGUCGAGUUGUUUGGGAAUGCAGCUCCAAGUGGGUGGUAUAUUUCAUCUAAAGCUAAAUACCGGCGGGAGACCGAUAGCGCACAAGUAGAGUGAUCGAAAGAUGAAAAGCACUUUGAAAAUAGAGUCAAAAAGUACGUGAAAUUGUUGAAAGGGAAGCGCUUGAGACCAGACUCAGACCCGAGCAAACACCGCGCCCCUCGGGGCCGUGCAAUUGCCAGGGGCUGGGCCAGCAUCAGUUGGCGUGGCGGGACAAAGGCGCGGGCAAUGUGGCUCCCCUCGGGGAGUGUUAUUAGGCCCACGCUCAAUGCCGCCGACGUCGACUGAGGACCGCGCCUCGGCUAGGAUGCUGGCUCAAUGGCCUUCAGCGACCCGUCUUGAAACACGGACCAAGGAGUCUAACAUCUAUGCGAGUGUUUGGGCGUCAAACCCUUGCGCGUAAUGAAAGUGAGCGGAGGUGGGAACCCCUCGCGGGGCGCACCAUCGACCGAUCCUGAUGUCUUCGGAUGGAUUUGAGUAG